rnacentral:rRNA from 1 species
CAUUCAGUGAAACACUGAAUACGGAAAGCUAAUUGAAACAUUAACUUGAAGGAGGAUUUAGCAGUAAGUGGCGAAUAGAGAGCCCCACUGAAAUUGGCCUGAAGCGUGUACACACCGCCCGUCACUCUCCCCGAGCAGAAAAAUUCUUUACCUAAAAAGCCAAAUAAAUGUAAAGGGGAGGCAAGUCGUAACAUGGUAAGUGUACCGGAAGGUGCACUUGGCUAAAA